UAAUUUAAAACAAUUUGAUUCUGGUUGUUAACUUAGCUAUUUUAAAAUUAAUACAUGAUAAUGUAAUGUGUGCUAGCGAGGAAGUGAAAGUCUUAAAGAGUUAACUAUCAUUAUUUUUAAAAUGCUUAUAAUGAUUAUGUGUACGCAGCAUCAGUAUAAAGCAUUAAUCAGAUCAACACGAGCGUGUGUGUUAGUUAUUAAAGAAAGGGUUAGCUAAUUUUGUGCCAGCUGCUGCGGUUAUACAAAAAGCCCGAGUUAAGUGUUGGUGGAUAAAAGGAGGUUAAUAGGUUGAGUUGGGGGUUAAAUUAAGGUUGGGGGGUAAAAUCUAUAUAUCUUUUUUGUUCUAAUUUUCCAUUUUUAUUGUAUGAUGCCUUGUUUAGCUUUAGAUAAAAACUAGGAUUAGAGACCCUGUUAUUCUUUUGUUUAAAUUUUUUUACACCGGGGUACUAAGAGUGUGCUUAAAACCCAAAGAAUUUGGCGGUACUUUAUUCUGUUUAGGGGAACCUGUCCUGUAAUCGAUAGUCCUCGUUGAAGCGAACUUUUGUUUUUGUUUACUUGUUUGUGUACUUCCGUUGUCAGCAUAUGCUCAAAAGUUAUAUGUGCUAAACAAAUUUUAUGUUUAUGACAUCAGGUCACUGUGCAGCGAUACAAAAGAAGAGAUGGGUUACAUUUAUUUAGUUGUUCAGUUGGCUUUUUGGAACAAAAGGCUUAAGUUGGACUUAAUAGUAAUUUUUUAUGAGAAAGAAAUUUUGAAUUAUGCGCUAAAGUGUGUACAAAUCGCCCGUCGCUCUUUUCGAUCUAAGGUAAGAUAAGUCGUAACAUAGUAAGAGUAGUUGAAACUGCUCUUAUUUU
rnacentral:rRNA from 1 species